GUAGACCUUAUUCAGAAUUCAACUUCUAGGACGAAAGGAAGGCAGGGUUGGAUUAAGACGGCUACAAGAGUUUUUCAGGCAUUGCGGAUAGCUGUUAAUGAUGAACUCAUAACUUUGGAGGAUUCCAUCCGUGCUUGCUUUGAGUCUCUCACUUCUGGUGGAAGGCUUGCCAUAAUUUCAUUCCACAGUUUGGAGGACAGAAUAGUAAAGCAGGCAUUUCUCAAUAUUAUGAACUGCAGUGAAGUUGAUGGAGGUGAGGUUGAAGAUGAAGAAGGGAAGCGCUUACGUGAGCUGAGGAAAAUUAAUCUGGAUACUGUUAAAGAAGAAGUAUGGAUUAAACAGGUGAUACAAGG
rnacentral:misc_RNA from 1 species